GAAUUAGAAGAUGCAAGCACACCUGAUGGAAAAGUAAACAGUGCUGGAGAAGAGAACUUAAAUCUCAGAAUAAAAGAGCUGGAAAAGUCAGAGCAAAACCUGAGAGGUGUUCUAGAGGACUACGUGGAGUCAGAUUCUGUCCUAAGACAUAGGAUGAAAGAGCUGGAACUGUCACACAAAAAACUUCUUGUGAUGAUUGAUCAGCUCAAUGUGAAGUUGCAAAAGGUUGAAAAUACCAAUGUACGUGUUAAAGGGAAAUUGCGAGACAUUCAGGAGGAUCUGAUCAACUUGGUUGAAAACCAAAAAAAGUCAGAGAAGAAGCAAAAGGAAAAAUUGUGUUGGCUUCAGGAGCAGCUGAAGACAAAAGAAGAAGAAAUAAAAAACCAAUCAGAAUAUUUUGAGCACUACAAACAAAGACAGAGACAACAAACAGCAGUAUUGAGAAAGAGGGAAUGUUACCUUCGGGGUGAGGUAUCUAGGCUGGAAAAGCAAGUCCUAGAUCUUAGCUCCCAUGUUGCUGUUUUGACAUCCGAGAUAGAAGAGGGAAUGGUGCAGCAUCUCCAGCAGGUGCUGGAAUCAACGUUCAGUGGGACUCGGGGUUAUAAACACCCUGACAUGGAAGUAGUGGAAUGGAAAACUUGUUUUGAAAAUGUGGAGCAUGAUGUGAAAAGCCACCUUCAGGCAUUUCAGCAAAAUCUGAAGUUCUUAAGGGAAAAAGAGGAGGACAACAGAAGAGAACAGGGAGACCUGUUGACUGAACUGCAGUGCUCUCAGGACAAUGAAGACUUCCUCAGAACAAAAUUGGAAGAAUCUUCCUGUCAUGUCUAUAGUUUGAAAUUAUCUGAAAUCAAACUACAGGAAAAAAUGGAAGAGCUUUUGGAUGAAAACAGAGCUUUAAAAGAUCACAGUACAAUGAUGUUGAAAAAGAAAAAAGAAAAAGACUCACAACUUGCAAGAUUGGAGAAUGGAGACAACAGUGUUGACCUGGUAUGUCAACUGAAUGGAGACCUAAUUCAGGAUGAAGUUCAAAAUCUUAAAUGGAGACCAGUCUUGGAUUCACUCAGAAGCAGAGCUACUCAAACUCCAGCUGUGCUGCUACAUGCUGAAGAGUCUGUGCUUUUCCAUAACAGAAACACCAGGAUGUAGUCAUGAUGGACUAAAGGAGGAGCUACCAGAAGAAUCUGUACCAGUUUGGGAAGGCAAUUCCAGUGUCUUUGUGAAAGUUGCUGGUCUAGCUGAGGCUGAGCAGGUGAGAAAAAAGGAAAUUUGAGAUGGAGUGAAGAGCUGGUGCAUUUAAAGGUGAAGUAGCUUUA
rnacentral:lncRNA from 1 species